GUAUAAAUUUCUCAAGCAUCUGAGAGCAAGCGUCUAUAUUUUCUUAAUAUGCCUUUUAUUACGUCUUGAACGGUACUUAUUUGUAGUCGUGAAGUGCGGUAGUUAUAGUCGUGAAGUACGACGCGAAGCGGUAAAGCGUAUGCUCAUCAAAUUUUUGAUUAUCUCAAAAAUAAUUCAGAGUAUUCGUUAGAAAGAAUAGCAGAAGCUCAUGAAUUAAUAAGUUUCACCUUUUUGGACGAACACCAUGAAAGCCGAGUAGCCAUACUGCAUUGGCGACUUGCUCAACAUAUACGAGCGUCUCAAACACCUUUCAUUGAAAAAUUUUCGAAAGUACCAUUGCGGGAGGCUUAUUGUAAUGCCGUAGAAUUUCAAACAUUAGAAGAAUUAGACAAUAUAGCCGUCGGCAUUGAUGCAACGCGUGUCCAAAGUCUAUUGAUUUGUGAACGCAUUCUGGGCAUAACUCAUAAAGAUACUUUGUUUCGUUUAACAUUUCGAGGCGCUUCGUACGCCGACUCAUUACAAUUGCAACUCUGUAUUCAUCUUUGGAUGCCGCUGUUGAUGGACUAAUAAACGCAAAAGCCUUGUAAGUACCAUCGGAACGAGCAGUUUUAAAGCUCUCAACAGUGGAAAGACAAGGUAAUCUAUGCGACGUUUUACGUUAAAUAAAAAAACAGAAAAGGUUCGUAUGACACGGAUUCGAUAGAGCACGGUACGAAUUAAUCGUGUUAAACGAGGAACGCCUGUAUAUGGAAAGACUAUCGUUUUAUAAGUAGGUUUACAUAUUGUAAGGUACUUAAGAGACGAAUCGGACAGAGAAACCAACUAUCUUUAGAAUUUAUAUGGUUACAGGUGAGCGACACUUUUGGUAAGGGACGGACAAUUAUGCGGACGAACUUGUUGCCAGUAAGAAAGAACGUGCCACAACUACAGCAUAAAAUCGCUCUUUUUCUUGCAACCAUUUUACCAAGCACCGUGAAAUGAUAACUUUACUUUAAAUGAACGUUUAAAUUAUACCAAUUUGAAAGAUUUUUUUAUUAAAAAUAUGUAAGAAAAAAAAUGGUCGUAUUUUUAAAUAAAAUUUAUAUGAUUAAGUAAUUUUCAUAUAUAUUUAUAUUUUUAUUUUAGAUUUAAAGAAAUGUUAAUUGUGUAUUAAUUGAGUUAACGCAUAUUAUCACUGUUGCACACCAUUAACAAAACAAAAAUAAAUAUAUACAUUCUGCUAUUUUCUUCCCCACAAGAAAAUUUUCAAACGGAAGACAAAAAGUAACAGAGUUCAGAUUAAAUUUAAUAUAUUAUUAAUAAAUUUAGAUUAUAAUGUAAAAGAUGACGAGCGACUGGCAACAUCAGCGGCGGCAGCAGGGGGGUGGAAGGAUCAACGCCUUGAACCAGAAGGCGAGCAAGUAGAAAAAAAUGAGAGAGUGGUGCCGGACAAUGAGGCACUGCGAGAGGCCGUGAGGAAAUUGACUCGGAGAAUCGGGCUUGGAGAACCACAAAUAAACGAUAAAGAAGUCCGCCCGCAAAAUUCAGUCCAACUCUUGGCUCAUCGCCUCGUCGUAAUGUAAGAUUCGCUUCAUGUCAAAG